rnacentral:rRNA from 1 species
CCUACGUGCGGCAGCAGUAGGGAAUCUUCCACAAUGGGCGAAAGCCUGAUGGAGCAACGCCGCGUGGGUGAAGAAGGUCUUCGGAUCGUAAAACCCUGUUGUUAGAGAAGAAAGUGCGUGAGAGUAACUGUUCACGUUUCGACGGUAUCUAACCAGAAAGCCACGGCUAACUACGUGCCAGCAGCCGAGGUAAUACGUAGGUGGCAAGCGUUAUCCGGAUUUAUUGGGCGUAAAGGGAACGCAGGCGGUCUUUUAAGUCUGAUGAGAAAGCCUUCGGCUUAACCGGAGUAGUGCAUUGGAAACUGGGAGACUUGAGUGCAGAAGAGGAGAGUGGAACGCCAUGUGUAGCUGUGAAAUGCGUAGAUAUAUGGAAGAACACCAGUGGCGAAAGCGGCUCUCUGGUCUGUAACUGACGCUGAGGUUCGAAAGCGUGGGUAGCAAACAGGAUUAGACACCCGAGUAGUC